rnacentral:rRNA from 1 species
UACGAAGGGGGCUAGCGUUGUUCGGAAUUACUGGGCGUAAAGCGCGCGCAGGCGGUCUUUUAAGUCGGAUGUGAAAGCCCUUGGCUCAACUGAGGAAGUGCACCCGAAACUGAGUGGCUAGAGUACGAAAGAGGGUCGCGGAAUUCCCGGUGUAGAGGUGAAAUUCGUAGAUAUCGGGAGGAACACCGGUGGCGAAGGCGGCGACCUGGGUCGAUACUGACGCUGAUGCGCGAAAGCGUGGGGAGCAAACAGG